rnacentral:rRNA from 1 species
UACGUAGGAUGCAAGCGUUGUUCGGAAUUACUGGGCGUAAAGAGUACGUAGGCGGUCUGGCAAGUCUGAUAUUAAAGACUGGAGCUUAACUCCAGGACUGUAUCGGAAACUGCCAAACUAGAGGACAAUAGAGGAAGUCGGAAUUCUCAGUGUAGCGGUGAAAUGCGUAGAUAUUGGGAAGAACACCAGUGGCGAAAGCGGACUUCUGGGUUGUUACUGACGCUGAGGUACGAAAGCGUGGGGAGCAAACGGG